CGAGAGAGAGCUGUCAGACCAGAGGGUCAAAAUGGGCGCGCCGCUUAUCUCAAGACCAACCGUCUGCUUAUACGUUGGAGUCAUCUGUGCCCAAGGAUCUACAGCGCAACAGGAAUUGAACUUCUCACCAAAGUUCAAGCUCACUAUCACGGGAAAAACUUAAGUGGUGCCUUUCAUACUGAAGUUAGAGUACAUUUAUGAGCCGCUGAUACAAACCAGAAACAUUACUGGAAAUACAAUAUGUAACUUAGAUCAAUUAGAUGAACAUCAUGUACUCUCUAGUCUAGUUUAAUACAAGAGCAUGUUUUUGCUUUUCAUAAAAGAUUUGAAAGGUUGAAUUACGGUAUGGAAUUUUUUUUUUUUAAUACAUAUUUUAGAGUAUAACAUAAAUGAUCCGAUAAAUAAAAGAAAGCAAAGAAGUGCACUAAAUAUUGUUGUUGUGACUUGAAAAUCGAAAGAAAAUUAAAUAUGUAAGAGAGAAGAUAACAAAAAUGAAGAGUAAGGAGAAUAAUAAAUGAAGAAAAAUGAGAGAUACGAAAGCAGGUACCAAAAUUAUAAGACGUUAUCGCUAAUCUGAUAGAUAAGAAAUCCCGUGACCACCGAGGAGAACAAGAGACGGAGAGUCAUGACAAGACAAACGCAGCCGGAGACGGGCAGUAGAUUACAAGAAGCUUCUGGAACCUUCUCCCCAUAUCUGGUAAUAAUCAGAGGUCGCCAGAAGCAAAUGAUAUGUGCAAGGCGGUUAUCGACAAGUUAUGGCGAAGGCCUUGUUCCUGAUAUUAGUUGAUAUUACCGAAGAUAUUGGAAAUAAACAUUGUAAAACCAGAAGUUGUUGUGGGGACGAGGAGUCAACUAACGUGUGUAUAUUAGGAGGUGUAAGACACAGAGUCAGAGAGAGAAGCCGAGAGCGCCGAGGAGAAGGCUAGAGACGACAGCGAGACAGAGCUGUCAGACCAGAGGGUCAAAAUGGGCGCACCGUCUAUAUCAAGACCAGUAAGUGUAGCCAGAGACAGUUGUAAUGCAGUCAGAGAAAAUUUUGGUGUCAUAUUUGGAUAGAGGGAAAAUGGUUGUGUAGGUUGUGUAGGGUGUUGUUUUUAUUGGAAGGUUAAUUGUAGGGUGUGUUAGGAUGUAUCUUAUCGUUGAGUUUAAAUUGCGUGAUUUGCAGUUGAAUAACGAAAUAUUGUGAAGAAAUUUUGAACAUUUGAAGAAGUUUGAGUGAAGAGAGAAAUGUUAUUAUCAAUGAAGUUAUUGUGUGUGUAAUGAAUUUGAGUUCAAGAUAUAAUGUGACAGAAUC